ACUUAAAUUGAAGAGUUUGAUCAUGGCUCAGAUUGAACGCUGGCGGCAGGCCUAACACAUGCAAGUCGAGCGGAAACGGCAGCAUUGAA
rnacentral:rRNA from 1 species